AAUUGUAUGCAUGAUAUUAUAGAGCCCAACACUUAUAAACAAACCAUUAGGCUCUCGCUUUCUAGGUUUGUCUAUUGACCAGUGUCGAUCGAUGAUUCUAUAGGAAUAUUGAUCGACGCGUUUGGUCAAGCUUUAACACGCCGGUUGAAUGUGCUCACUAAGCUUCCUAGAUCAGUUCCCGCCUUAUUCUAGCAAUCUUAGCUCAGUUAGGAUGGAUUCCGGGUGAGGUGAAAGCUAUCACUUGUGUCUACAACUCCUAGGGCAAGUUCUAUGAGCUAAUCUAGAAACAAGCAUUAAUGACAAUUCUAAUGAUGAAUAUUACAACUUAGCAAUCUAUAGUUGGGGCUAAUCCCUAAACCCUAAACCUAUCAAGAGAACUACUCAGACAUUGCUAAGAAAUUCAUAACAUCAAUUAGGUAUAAAAACUGCAUAGAUAAAUAGAUAGAUAUCAAUGGAGUUCCAAUCACAAAUCUCUUUGGAUCUUCUCUCCAAUCUACUAAAAAUCCUAGAAAACCUUUUGUUGUGAAAAUAGUAAAACAAAAAAGCACAGUUUGCCUUUAACAUGUUGGCAAAGCUUAUAUAGUUAGGUUAAAACUCAUCAUGGGUAAUCUUGUAAAUUGGUGAAGACUUGGGCUCUAUGUCGGCUGGGACCAAACGGACUUUCUGCGCGCUUCGCUGUUGAUCGAUGUCAAGAUGUGAACAUCGAUCGAUUCUUCUUCUUCAAUAUCGACCGAUGAUCGUACUCGAUGGUCAGCUCGAAUGCUUUCUCCAAAUGUCUCCCAAAUGCUCCAAAAUCAUUACUUUCUUACAAAUGUCUCCAAAAUGCUCUAAGAUCAUUACAAUCUUCCAAAUCACUCCUUGUCGUAUAAAUAUACUAAAUAUACUCUAGAAUAUAAUAAAUAGUUAUUAAAACACCUAUGAACCAUGGAUAAAAGUAGGUCAAAUCCGUGGUCUAUCAUACCCUACAACAAAACUUUGCCACAAAGCACAUCCUCAUAAAUUUCCGCAGGUAUCUCAAAGUUCACCACACCAUCGACAAUCUCAAACUCCGGACCGAUUGUAUCCCCCAACCCCACAUUCACUACUUUUGCAUACGAACUUUUCUCCAUGACAGAAAUUUUCGUGAUUACCUGAUGUGUAACUCCUUCCCUAAUCACCAGCUCUUCUUUUCCAUCGACAAUCCGAUAUUGUGAAAAGCUAACCGGCAGAUACACCACAUUUACCAACCCGACAUACUCCCCAUCAAUCCCAGUGCGAGCAUCCCCACUCUCAAUCCGAAUCCCCUCCACAGAUCCCUCUGUAACUUUGAUCCCCCGACCUUCUGACUCCCCCCCAACCUGACACCAGACCCCUUCCUCCAACCUCUGAUCCCUCUCUCCCAUUGUCACCGUUUGAAUCGAACGGCGGCUCGGUCGCCAUUAUCGCCUUUCUUGUCGUCUUAGGGUUUCUUUCCUUAUUUACUAUAAAGACUAUUCUAUUACUCAAACUAUAGGUGGUUUACAUUUUAAAAUUUCUAAUAGAGAUAACAAUACGUAUAAAUAAAAAGCUAAUCUCUGAUUUUCUAAUCACACACAUAGCGCAGUUCCAAACAUGAACAGUUACGAAUGUAUUACUUCAAAAAUAUAAUUAAAUAACUAAGUAAAUGACUAAAAAUAAUUAUUUGAAAAUAUAUUUGAAAAUUUAGUUGAUAGAUCUUUGGAAGAUUUUUAGAUCGUAUAUGCUGAAAUUUUGUUGAAAACAUAUAUUUUCAGUAUAAACGGAUAUAAAAUCAUUAAAUUGCAGUAAGCCAUAAAAUUAUCUAAAUUUUAUAUUCUGUUUAUAAAAAUAGUUAUAAAAAUCCAUUUAUGUGGUAAAGAAUGAAACACUUUGAUCCUUGCUGUGAUUGAGAUACUCAUUGUUGUGGUCGUGGAGCUCUUCCCUAAAUAAAAAUAAAUAAAAAUGUAUGACCCAAACAAAAUUGAAAUGUAGCAAAUAAAUUGAAAAUUUCAACGACAUACAAAACCUAUUUUUUGGUCAUCCUCUUGGUUUCUUUGAAUGUCUCUCCGCUUAGAUUUUUACAACCUUACUUAUUGUGUGCAUCUUCGUUGCAGUUUAAGCAUGUCAUCGCUUUCAUCUGGAGUGUCAACUGGAUGUUACUUGAUCCAUAUUUAUUUUUUCUUUUUUUCUUUUCUGGCAUAAUUACUUGGUCGUCUCAGAUUGCGUUUUCUUCAUGGUGGUAGCAAGACAACUAGCAUAUUUACUCUAGGCCAAAACUUCAUCACUUCAGGAACGGAAGGGAUUUCUACCAUCCACCACUUCCUGCAACCACAAGUCUUCUCAUUCAUGUCAACCACAAUUAACAUUAUUGAGCUCUACCUCAUGCAAAUUAUUUAUGGCCAUGUAGUGGAUGUUAGAGAUAUGAGAAUCAUUUGUAUAUAUUAUCUCUUCCUUUGUUUUAGGAAACUAAUAACUGUAUCUCUUGUAUAUAAACUCUCGUGUAUCAUUCUCAUUAUUCAAUAUACUAAGAUACAAUCUUUACAUGGUA